UUGCUAUACCCUUCGUCUGUAUCUAUUGUAUACUAUGUGGAUCAAAGAAAACGUAAGUAUUGUGAAUUUUAUUAUUACAGCAAAAUACAUUGAGUGUGUAGGCAAAUGUCUUAUCUUUAAUUAGCUUGCUUGCUGGACAUUGAAGUCAUUAUUGGGUUAGGUAUACUACACUCCUUUCGGUGUAGUCUAGUCCGACAGAAAUAUAGAUUUGUUACCUGUAGGACUUAUCUACACACUCAAUGCAUUUUGCUGUAAAACUAAAAUAUUGGUAUGCAUUGACUGCACUUACACAAGUAUCAAAAUAUCGGUCUAAUUAUUUUAAGGAGAUUCGAAUAAUUAUAACGUUACUUUUCAAGUAUAGUCAAUGACUUGUCUCCGGCCAAAAAGGUAUUGGGUGGGUGUAGACUUACAAAGUACGAUACGUAAUGCUCCUCUUCUAAGUUUACUUGGAAUCGAGAUUGAAAAAUAACCCUUAAUUUGAAAGAUAUAUUUUGCAAGUGAAAGGUACAGCCCUACUUAUAACAAAAAUACGUCUUUAGUAUCAACAAGUAGCCAUCCACAAGUGUUACUUUUUGCAAUUUGGCGCUUAAAAAAUCAAAAUCAAUAAAUGUUGUAAAAGUAAAAUUCAGAAAUUCCAAGAUGACAGAUUAAGUCUAUUAUAUAAUAAGCUUUUGUUCAUACAUAGAUAUAAGAACAUGUUGUAUGAGGGCCAAUAAGACAACUCUAGAAUCAAAUAGAUAUUUGGAAAAGUAAAACGUUAUAGGUCAAAGUACAGCCUUCAACCUUGAACUUUGACUCAUAUCUAACUGCAAGCUAUAAAGAUCCGUAAAAUGACUAGUGUAAAACCAUUCAACAGGGAAACCAACGGUUUCAUCUAAAUAAAAAACGAGAAACGAGAAACACUUAUAAGCCACAUCAACAAACGACAACCGCUGAAUAUUGUUUUAACGUCCUCAUUCGACGGGUAUGUUUAAAUAGUAGGAACACAUGCAUAAAGAACAAAAUCAAACUGACCCAAAUUGGACAAGAAAAUACAGAAAAGAGAAAAAAAGCGAAAAAAAAAACAAAUAAAUACUAAGAAAUGAAAUACCCUAUCCCGACCUUCAUUAAUAUAGCUUUCCGUUUAUGUCAAUCGUGUUUCGUACUGACUUACGUUACAUGAGACAAAGAAAAGAAAUCUAGAAAUAAAUCAAACAUGUUUUGGUCAAAACAAUAGAAUUUAUGCAAUUAAAGAACAUACAAUAAUUGUUAUGGCCACCUUAAAAGACCUGAAAAUCAUUUAAAAAAAAUGUCAAUCUUUACCAAUCUAAUUAAUUUUUCCAGUGUAAAAACAUUUUUUUUGUGUUUUCAGUAAACAUGGCGAAAAACCUGGCGAAAAAGUGAAAUGGAAAUGUAUGCAGUCGUGUAAAUGUUGCAUCUUGCGAUGUUUUCCUUCCAGAUUUGAAGAGCCAGACACCAAAGCUUGUGAUUGUACAUGUCGUAAAUGCAUGUCUUGCGAACAGUUCUGCAAAUGUUGUGUUUUAAGGUGCUUUCCAAAACAUUUACCAACUCCAUUAGAGGAUGCAUGUGAAUGUUUGUGUGGUAAAUGUAUGCGCUGCGAAGGAAAUUGUCGUUGUUGUAUACUUCGCUGCUUUCCGUCACAUCUUGAACCACCAAAAUCCGACAUUUGGACAUGUAAGUGUUUUGAUUGUCUCGCGUGCGAAAUGCCAUGUAAAUGUUGUACAUUUAGGUGUUUCCCAACUCAUUUAAAGUCCCCUAAGACUGAUGUUUUGACGUGCCGAUGUCGAGAAUGCUUGUCGUGUAAACUGCCAUGUAAAUGUUUCACUUUCCGAUGCUUUCCGGAAUAUCAAACCCCUCCAAUUUCUGAUUGGUGGGAAUGUACGUGUGGUGCCUGCAUGAAGUGUGAACGACCAUGCGGAUGUUGUAUUCUACGAUGCUUUCCGUCAUAUUUUGAUAGCAAGGAAGUGUGUACAUGUAUGUGCAAGAAAUUCCUAGCUUGUCAAAAGUCCUUAGGAUGUUGCAUAUGUCGAUGCUUCCCGAACACUUUAGAUUCAUCAAAACAGGAGAACUGCGAGUGCACAUGUGGUCAAUUUUUAACAUGCAACCCGAAAGUUCAUCCUGAAGUAGUAACAACUCAACCAAAAACUCCCCCGCCUCCCCCACCCCCUCCAAAGCCUAGAGAUUCUAGUAAAUGUGUUGCUUGCUGUUUAGGUUUUUUGUCUCUUUUAAUCGUCUUGUUGUUGCUUUUAUAUUUCUUUUUGUUGGUCAUACAAGUACGUUAUGUUCUUGUAUGCGAUGAUAGCAAAUCAUUUAUGUCAUUUAUGCACCAAAUAUUUGCGCAGCCCUAUCUCUUAAUUUUCCUUUUCACAGGUGAAAAUCAGAAUUUGUAGGAUUUGAAAAAGAUUUUUUCAUGGUUUUAGUAAUGAAAAAUAGCAUAAACAGCGUUUCAACGGAAAUAAAUUUUAAUCUUUUAAAUCAAGUUUUUGUCUUGUAUAUAAUACUCGUCUUAAAGAUUGAUGCCUUGAAAACCUUAUGUUAAUUAAAAUUUUCAGCACUGAUGAGUUGCACAAAUAGCUUUCAACGAAAAUAGAUAUUAAUCUUUUAAAAUCAAGUUUUUGUCUAGUAUACUAUACUCGUCUUAGAGAUUGAUGCCUUAAAAGAACCUUAUAUUAAUUAUAAUUAUCACCAUUUAGCUUUUCAUCGUAACUCCAUCCUCAGAGUCAAUGAUGUACAAUAUUUUUUAUCCGUUUGAAGAAUAACACAACAUGAGCGACAAAACGUCAUUGACCAAUCUUUGUGUUGUUGUUUUGGUUUUGUAUUUUUUUACAUCGAGAUUGUGUUUUCCUCUGUGUUUCGAAAUUUAAAAAAAACAAAAAAAAGAAAAAAAUACAUAUUCUAAUUUCCCUCUUUCAGUCUUUACCAGACUAUUCUGAAUGGGGUGAUCAAAAAAGUUGAUAAUAGUAGAUAAAAAUUUUUUUUAGGAGAAAAAUGGCCUCCGAAAUAAAGAAUUGAAGACUUCAAUCUGCAGAUCUAUGAACACAUUACCAGGUUCAAUCCACCAUUUUCUACAUUUGAAAAUGCCUUUUACCAAGUCAGGAAUAUGACAGUUCUUGUCCAUUCGUUUUUGAUGCGUUUUGUUAUUUGAUUUUGCCAUGUGAUUAUGGACUUUCCGAAUCGAUUUUCCUCUGAGUUCAGUAUUUUUGUGAUUUUACUUUUUAGUAACAUUUGAAUCAACAUACCAAAUGUAUGAAUUGUAUUUGUGAUUUAUUACGCCAAAAGAGGAAUAUGAUAAUAAGCAUCCCAUAUUAGUUUUAUUUUAGUAGUUUUUCAAUAUGAAUUUGAUUUUGAAUAUAUAUUAGAGACAGUUGCGUCAUUUUUUUUC
rnacentral:lncRNA from 1 species